GACGAACGCUGGCGGCGUGCUUAACACAUGCAAGUCGAACGGAAAGGCCCUGCUUUUGUGGGGUGCUCGAGUGGCGAACGGGUGAGUAACACGUGAGUAACCUGCCCUUGACUUUGGGAUAACUUCAGGAAACUGGGGCUAAUACCGGAUAGGAGCUCCUGCUGCAUGGCGGGGGUUGGAAAGUUUCGGCGGUUGGGGAUGGACUCGCGGCUUAUCAGCUUGUUGGUGGGGUAGUGGCUUACCAAGGCUUUGACGGGUAGCCGGCCUGAGAGGGUGACCGGCCACAUUGGGACUGAGAUACGGCCCAGACUCCUACGGGAGGCAGCAGUGGGGAAUAUUGCACAAUGGGCGGAAGCCUGAUGCAGCAACGCCGCGUGCGGGAUGACGGCCUUCGGGUUGUAAACCGCUUCCGCCUGUGACGAAGCGUGAGUGACGGUAAUGGGUAAAGAAGCACCGGCUAACUACGUG
rnacentral:rRNA from 1 species